rnacentral:rRNA from 1 species
CCUACGGGAGGCAGCAGUGGGGAAUCUUGCGCAAUGGGCGAAAGCCUGACGCAGCAACGCCGCGUGCGGGAAGAAGGCCUUAGGGUUGUAAACCGCUUUCAGUAGGAACGAAAAUGACGGUACCUGCAGAAGGAGGUGCGGCCAACUACGUGCCAGCAGCCGCGGUGACACGUAGGCACCAAGCGUUGUCCGGAUUUAUUGGGCGUAAAGAGCUCGUAGGCGGUUCAGUAAGUCGGGUGUGAAAACUCUGGGCUUAACCCAGAGCCGCCACUCGAUACUGCUGUGACUUGAGUUCGGUAGGGGAGCAGGGAAUUCCUAGUGUAGCGGUGAAAUGCGCAGAUAUUAGGAGGAACACCGGUGGCGAAGGCGCUGCUCUGGGCCGAUACUGACGCUGAGGAGCGAAAGCGUGGGUAGCAAACAGGAUUAGAUACCCUGGUAGUCCACGCCGUAAACGUUGGGCACUAGGUGUGGGUUCCAACCAACGGAAUCCGCGCCGUCGCUAACGCAUUAAGUGCCCGCCUGGGGAGUACGGCGGCAACGCUAAACUCAAAGGAAUUGACGG